rnacentral:rRNA from 1 species
UACGAAGGGGGCUAGCGUUGCUCGGAAUCACUGGGCGUAAAGCGCACGUAGGCGGCUUGUUAAGUCAGGGGUGAAAUCCUGGAGCUCAACUCCAGAACUGCCUUUGAUACUGGCGAGCUUGAGUUCGGGAGAGGUGAGUGGAACUGCGAGUGUAGAGGUGAAAUUCGUAGAUAUUCGCAAGAACACCAGUGGCGAAGGCGGCUCACUGGCCCAAUACUGACGCUCAUGCACGAAAGCGUGGGGAGCAAACAGG